ensembl:ncRNA C05A9.12 ncRNA
UGGGCAGGAUGGCGUAGUGGUUAGCAUGCGCCAGCGAUAUUGUGAUUGAUUGGGGAUCACUCCCAUCCUUGCCCGAUUUUUUUGUUUUCGA